GUUUUCAAUAUAUCGGGAUAUUUUGGUGCUAAAUUCGUAAAUACAGUAAUUACUACGUAGCAUUACUGCAUAUUGAACUACUUUUUCUGUCAAAUUUGUUGUAUAACAGGAUGUUUUGGUGCUUAAUUUGUAAAAUCAUAACCUAAUUUAAUGUUUAAUAGGCUUUUACUUAAUAUUUCUUAUUAUCCAACAUAUUCGCUUUUCCAACGUUCUGCCGGCCCGUUUACGUUGGAUAAGCGAGACUCUACUGUACAUAUUUAUAAAACUAGCAUAUAAUGUUGGCAAGUUCUGUUAGGAAUGAUGGGAGUUGCAGUCCAAAACACCUGGAUGACCCAAGUUGGCCCAGACCUGAUCUAGAUGCACCAUAAAUGAUAUAGAAGUACUCACCUGGAAAGGUAGGCUGUAUUGGGUCCUGUGGUCCCAGGGAGACGAAAUCCGCCCGGCAACCCGACACCCUUUCCACUAUGGAGCCUGACCUUUUGCUUUCCCCACCUGUCAAUCAUUAAACAGGUAUCCCAAGGCCUUUCAGAUCCCUUGCAUCAUCUGGUGCUUCCGAAAAGAUACACAGGCCUCCACCCGAUUCUUUACCUUAAAGAGGGAUACCUGCCGCUUUCCCUUAACCGAAAUCUCUGCCCAGGUGUGCUGUGCUGUGGAGAUACCUGCACAAAGAGGGACAGGGAGGGGCCAAGUUGGCAGGUAACUCGAACUCCAGCCAACGGAUGGAAACAAGGGGGAGAAAAUAAACACGCCCAGCCCAGAUUUGUGGCCGCUCUUGCAGAAAUCCUGCACAUUUCAGCAAGGGAAAAGAGGAUUACAAAAACCACCGCAGAAAUCUGUGCAUUCGUGAGAGGGAAUGAAAAUGCUCUCUGCACAUGCUCAGAGGUCCACCAUCUGGAAGUCCUGCCCCUUUAAAUCCAGACUUACGGGGAAGCAAAUUGCGUUUCCAUGGAAGUAAGAGGAAAUGUACUCUGCACAUGCUCAGAUGCUUUGUUGCAACCCAUUGGCAGGCUUCAUUAAGGAAGCACUGUUUCUUUAAAUCCAGGUGCAAAGAGCUAAUAAAGGACUAUGAACCAAA
rnacentral:lncRNA from 11 species